UUUCUCUGUCCCAAUGUGUUGUUUACUGUGAACAAUUUACAUUGCCAUGGUAACAGGAAGAGGGGUCCCAAUGGAUGAUGGCUGGGUGAAAGCACAUUACACACCUGAACACUCACAGAUCACUCACCUGAUCAGCUCUCAACAACACGCGAGGAGUCGUUCACUGACAGACGGCACUUCAGCUUUUUAUCAUUUCUAUAAACUCAUAAACAGUGAAGAAAGUGUGUGUGUGUGUGUGUGUGUGUGUGUGUGUGUGUGCAGGACACAGCUCCAAACAUGGUCUCUCUCACAGCCCUCAGGUUGUUUGCAGUGUUGGUGUGUGUGUGCUGUGUCGAGGAGUGUGUGUGCUUUCCUAAUGGCUCAGUGGCGUUCUCCUGUGGCAGCUUGAUGCCGGUACACCCACCCUUCACCCCCUCCACUAGCAGCCCCCCUUCAUGGUGUCCACCUCCAGCACCACCUACAGGCCUGGAGGAGUCAUCACAGUGAUGUUGGAAGUGGAGACAAGCAGCUCCACAGAGUUUCAGGGUUUCAUGUUACAGGCCAGGAGCAGGGGCGGAAACG